CCCUGCUGACACACAAUGAAAACAUGGUGGCCAAAGUGGAUGAGGUGAAAUCCACAAUCAAGUUCCAGAUGAAGAAGGUACUGUGUCUGGCCGUUGCCGUCGGCCACGUGAAGAUGACCGAUGACGAGCUAGUCUACAACAUCCACCUGGCUGUCAACUUCUUAGUGUCCUUACUCAAGAAAAACUGGCAGAACGUCCGGGCUCUGUACAUCAAGAG
rnacentral:lncRNA from 1 species